rnacentral:rRNA from 1 species
GAUGAACGCUGGCGGCGUGCCUAAUACAUGCAAGUCGAGCGAACGGACGAGAAGCUUGCUUUUCUGAUGUUAGCGGCGGACGGGUGAGUAACACGUGGAUAACCUACCUAUAAGACUGGGAUAACUUCGGGAAACCGGAGCUAAUACCGGAUAAUAUUUUGAACCGCAUGGUUCAAAAGUGAAAGACGGUCUUGCUGUCACAUAUAGAUGGAUCCGCGCUGCAUUAGCUAGUUGGUAAGGUAACGGCUUACCAAGGCAACGAUGCAUAGCCGACCUGAGAGGGUGAUCGGCCACACUGGAACUGAGACACGGUCCAGACUCCUACGGGAGGCAGCAGUGGGGAAUCUUCCACAAUGGGCGAAAGCCUGACGGAGCAACGCCGCGUGAGUGAUGAAGGUCUUCGGAUCGUAAAACUCUGUUAUUAGGGAAGAACAUAUGUGGAAGUAACUGUGCACGUCUUGACGGUACCUAAUCAAAAAGCCACGGCUAACUACGUG